CUAAUACAUGCAAGUCGAACGCUUCUUUUCCACCGGAGCUUGCUCCACCGGAAAAAGAGGAGUGGCGAACGGGUGAGUAACACGUGGGUAACCUGCCCAUCAGAAAGGGGAUAACACUUGGAAACAGGUGCUAAUACCGUAUAACAAUCGAAACCGCAUGGUUUUGAUUUGAAAGGCGCUUUCGGGUGUCGCUGAUGGAUGGACCCGCGGUGCAUUAGCUAGUUGGUGAGGUAACGGCUCACCAAGGCCACGAUGCAUAGCCGACCUGAGAGGGUGAUCGGCCACAUUGGGACUGAGACACGGCCCAAACUCCUACGGGAGGCAGCAGUAGGGAAUCUUCGGCAAUGGACGAAAGUCUGACCGAGCAACGCCGCGUGAGUGAAGAAGGUUUUCGGAUCGUAAAACUCUGUUGUUAGAGAAGAACAAGGAUGAGAGUAACUGUUCAUCCCUUGACGGUAUCUAACCAGAAAGCCACGGCUAACUACGUGCCAGCAGCCGCGGUAAUACGUAGGUGGCAAGCGUUGUCCGGAUUUAUUGGGCGUAAAGCGAGCGCAGGCGGUUUCUUAAGUCUGAUGUGAAAGCCCCCGGCUCAACCGGGGAGGGUCAUUGGAACUGGGAGACUUGAGUGCAGAAGAGGAGAGUGGAAUUCCAUGUGUAGCGGUGAAUGCGUAGAUAUAUGGAGGACACCAGUGGCGAAGGCGGCUCUC
rnacentral:rRNA from 1 species